UACGAAGGGGGCUAGCGUUGUUCGGAUUUACUGGGCGUAAAGCGCACGUAGGCGGUUUGUUAAGUGAGAGGUGAAAUCCCAGAGCUCAACUCUGGAGCUGCCUUUCAUACUGGCAAGCUAGAGUCCGGAAGAGGUAAGUGGAACUCCUAGUGUAGAGGUGGAAUUCGUAGAUAUUAGGAAGAACACCAGUGGCGAAGGCGGCUUACUGGUCCGGAACUGACGCUGAGGUGCGAAAGCGUGGGGAGCAAACAGG
rnacentral:rRNA from 1 species